AGCUUUGCACAGUGGCAGUAGCAUAGCUAAUGAGGUUUAUCCGAGGUGCAAUUAUUACUAAUCGAAAAUGUUUCCAGAGUUAAUGAGGCCGAGAAGCAGUGAUUCUUGCUUCCAGACUUAAAAGUGAUAGUUAUAGAUAUAA
rfam:Myotis lucifugus cont2.21892, whole genome shotgun sequence.